UUAUGUCUAGGGAAUUACUAUUGUUUCUCACGCUUUCGAGUAAUUUUAGUAAAUUAUUUAAAAACAAAACAUUUUAAUUAUGUUUCAAUAGUACUACUGAAGGCAAAUCGUUCUGUGGCGGGAAGACAACCAUUAAAAUUUCAGCUUGUAGAGACUAGCGUUUGGCUGCAAU